rnacentral:lncRNA from 1 species
UCCUCCUUCUUCUUCGUCGGAAUCGAUUCCUUUCUCACUCAACCUUGCUUUUGAUGCCGAAAUCAAUUAUCUCUCUCUCGUUUCUACUCCUUCUUCUGUCGCCGGUAUCGCACAUUGCUUUCCGACUUUGUCCGCCGGGAGCUCGUCCGCCUCGUGUCCUUCAUCCCAUUGUUUUCACCAUUUGCAACUGCUGAGAUGCAAAUCCUUGGAGUUGAGCCAAAUCGAUAAAAACCCCAAUUCAAAAUCGAA